rnacentral:tRNA from 1 species
GCCUGGGUGGUUCAGUUGGUUGAACAUCUGACUUUGGCUCAGGUCAUGAUCUCACAGCUCUUGUGAGUUUGAGCCCCUCAUCGGGCU